GUGUGCCUGCCUGCUGCUUAUGAUCACAUAAGGGUGUGCUUUGCAAGCAGAAGGUUCCAGGUUCAAAUCCUGGCAUCUCCA